CCUGGUGGCUCAGACGGUAGGGAGACUGCCUGCAAUGCAGGAGACCCAGGUUCGAUCCCUGGGUCAGGA
rnacentral:tRNA from 1 species